rnacentral:rRNA from 1 species
UACGGAGGGUGGAAGCGUUAUCCGGAAUUACUGGGUUUAAAGGGUGCGUAGGCGGCUUGAUAAGUCAGGGGUGAAAACCUAUCGCUUAACGAUAGAAUUGCCUUUGAUACUGUAAAGCUUGAAAGGGGUUGAGGUCAGCAGAAUGUGGCAUGUAGCGGUGAAAUGCAUAGAUAUGCCAUAGAACACCGAUUGCGAAGGCAGCUAGCUGGGCCUACUUUGACGCUGAGGCACGAAAGCGUGGGGAGCGAACAGG